GGAGUUAUAGCAGAUGGUUCUGUAUUAGGACUAAUCUAUAAUCAGGGAUUCGAUUUCCCAUGACUCCU
rnacentral:tRNA from 1 species